AGACAGUCCCCACCCCAGGCCUUAGGGCCCUCACUCCAAGGGCCUUUGAGGUGUGGGGAAGGGACGCAGUUCUGGCUUCUUUCCUGCUGCACCCAGAACAGAACCGGCCAGCCUUCCACAGCCUGCCAGAGAAAGCCACGGCUGCCUCCGUGUCUCGGGUGCUCACGUGUUUGGAGCUCUUCCAUGGUGCCAAGAAAACGGUUUAGUGCACAAGUCAGCCUUGACAAGGCCCCGAUUCAGGUGUCACCUUUCCCACGAAGCUUCCUCGUAUGAAGAUACAUACUGGUCCUCAAUGCUAAACAAGAACAGUCAUGGGUGACACAGGAGAGUGAAGAGAUAACAGG